rnacentral:piRNA from 1 species
UCCAAAUCUCCACCAGCCCUA